AUUGAACGCUGGCGGCAGGCCUAAUACAUGCAAGUCGAACGGUAACAUAAGAGAAGCUUGCUUUUCUUGAUGACGAGUGGCGGACGGGUGAGUAAGAUUUGGGAAACUACCUGAUAGAGGGGGACAACAGUUGGAAACGACUGCUAAUACCGCAUACAGCCUCAGGGUGAAAGAAGCGAUUCGCUAUCAGAUGUGCCCAAACGGGAUUAGCUAGUAGGUGAGGUAAAGGCUCACCUAGGCGACGAUCUCUAGCUGGUCUGAGAGGAUGAUCAGCCACAUUGGGACUGAGACACGGCCCAGACUCCUACGGGAGGCAGCAGUAGGGAAUAUUGCACAAUGGAGGAAACUCUGAUGCAGCCAUGCCGCGUGUGUGAAGAAGGCCUUCGGGUUGUAAAGCACUUUCGGUAGGGGAGGAAGGAAAAUAGACGUUACCUCAGAAGAAGACACCGGCGUAACUCCGUG
rnacentral:rRNA from 1 species